GACGAACGCUGGCGGCAUGCCUAAUACAUGCAAGUCGAGCGAACAGAUGAAGUGCUUGCACUUCUGACGUUAGCGGCGAACGGGUGAGUAACACGUAAGGAAUCUACCUAUAAGCGGGGGAUAACAUUCGGAAACGGGUGCUAAUACCGCAUAAUAUCUUCUUCCGCAUGGAAGAAGAUUGAAAGACGGCUCUGCUGUCACUUAUAGAUGACCUUGCGGUGCAUUAGUUAGUUGGUGGGGUAACGGCCUACCAAGACGAUGAUGCAUAGCCGACCUGAGAGGGUGAUCGGCCACAUUGGGACUGGGACACGGCCCAAACUCCUACGGGAGGCAGCAGUAGGGGAUCUUCCGCAAUGGGCGAAAGCCUGACGGAGCAAUGCCGCGUGAGUGAAGAAGGCCUUCGGGUCGUAAAACUCUGUUAUAAGAGAAGAACAAAUUGUAGAGUAACUGCUACAGUCUUGACGGUAUCUUAUCAGAAAGCCACGGCUAACUACGUGCCAGCCGCCGCGGUAA
rnacentral:rRNA from 1 species